GAUGAUUUUAAAAAUGGCAGUUUCCCCUGCGCUUUUUCUCUCUCCUGUGCCUUGUGAAGAAAGUGCCUGCUUCGCCUUCACCUUCGGCCAUGAUUGUAAGUUUCCUGAGGCCUUCUCCGCCUGCAGAGCUAUAAUCCUCUCUCCACAACUUGAUAAUGCACAAACUGCAAAUCUUCUGGUACUCACUGCUGCAAGCAAACUUGAAGUCUUUCUGAGCCUGACUCUUCAUUCCUGCCUUGUGUGACCCAGGGAUGGAGGACUGCCCUCCCAACUCAUUAUCCUCUUUGCCCAGGAGCUGGCUUGUGUGGAAGAAUUAAAUGCAAACAGACUGCAUGUUUACCCAAGAAGACUGCACCUUGAAGUGGACAUUAGGAUUCUCAAAUGCAGUUUUUGUAAUGCACUGAUCUGCUUCAUCGACAUGGCAGGGAACGUGGCUGAACACAGAGGACUCAUUUUUGCAGCUUCCCUACCAGAGAGAGAGAGACACCCUUUUUACCCGAGUUCUGAGUUGAAAUAUCCUAGAAGAGAACUCUGAUUGGCCUGGCUUGGGUCACAUGCCUGUCCUUGAGUUGAUCAACUGUGAUUAGUUAUAAGUGUACUCAUUAGUAACUUCCCCUGGAACCUUAGAUUUGAUGUGGGGUAAGACUUCCAAAAACAAACAAAAAAAUAAAACAGAAGAA
ensembl:lncRNA novel transcript